UGUGAACUCCUUUUUGUGGUCACACACACACACAGACACACACAGACACACACACCAUAUAUAGGGAUCUGCUUGCAUUAGGGCUUUGAUAUGGAGUGGGGAAAGACUGAGAAGUCUCUGAAUAUUUAAAACAGCUUGGAAAAUUUUCUGACUUCUCAAGGGAGCUGGGUUUUUGCAUAAUGUGUCCAAAGUAUGAUAGCCUGGUCACUGGUGCCUUGAGUGAAUAUUCCGGAUUGAUUUGUUCCAUGAUCCAUUUGUUUUCCUGGCUGUUCAUGGUAUCCUCCAAUGUCUUCUACAGCACCAAAGUUCAAAAACGUCAAUACUUUUUCUAUCUUCUUCAAAGUCCAGCUUUCGCAUUCAUAGAGUGUCACAGGAAAAACCAUUGUCCGAACGAUUCUAAUCUUUGUAGGUAUAGACACGUCACAGCAUCUAAAUAUCCUUCCAAGGCCUUCACUGCAACCCUACCAAGUGCUAGUCUGCGGUGUAUUUCUUGAACGCUGGAUCCUUUACUGUUGAUGUCAAUCCCAAAAAGCAGAAGCUAGCCACCACUUCAAUGUCUUCAUCGUUAAUUCUAAGGCUGGUUGCUGUACCCGUUGCCGUUAGUUUAGUCCUCUUGACAUUUAGUCGAUGUCCCAUUUUUUCAGUGUGCUCCUUGGCUUUCAUUACUAGAGCCUGCAGAUCAUCCGCAUUCUCAGCUAUCAGCGGAGCGCAGGUUAGUGAUGUUUCUUCUCCCAACUUUAAAGCCAUGCUUAUCUUCUUCCAAUCAAGCUUCUCUCAGUAUAUGUUCAGCAUAUAAGUUGAAUAAAUAAGGAGAAAGUAUACAGUCUUGUCUUAUUCCUUUGCCCAUCUGGAACCAGUCUGUUUCUUCAUGUUCUGUCUAGACUGUGGCUUCCUGUCCUGUGUAUAGGUUUCUCAUGAGAACAAUGAGAUGUUCUGGGACACCCAUUUUCCAAAGGAUAUUCCACAACUUGACACGCUUGUCCUUGACGUCUUAAUCAAUCAAUUCUAGAAGCCCCUCUUAUGUUUAGUACUUUCGAUCAGGCUGUCAGCUGAUCCUGGGAGCCACCAGACUGACCUGUCAUCUAGUAGCCAUCGAUCGACCCGUCUCCCAUGAAUUUGACCAAGCCCCUUUGAAAGCCAUCUGAGCAACUGGCCGUUAGCACAACCCAUGGAGGAGAACUCCAAAGGAUAUGCGUGACCAAGUACUUCCUUUUGUCGGUCCUAAAUUUCCUGGCCUUCCUUUUCAUGGGAUGACCUCUGGACUCUAGUGUUGGGAGAAAGGGAGAAAAGCUUCUCUAUCCACUCUCUCUACUCCAUGCAGUGUUUUCGACAAUCUGUACGCAGCGUAAUAUAUAUUGAGCACACAUAUUUUGCAUGCAUUUCCGUCCUCCCUUGGUCAUGCUGUCUUGUGACUUGACCUGCUUCGUAGGGCUGUUGGGAAGGCGAAAUGGUGGAAGCCCAACCCUCGGACACGCAGCUCAGUGGGGACCCUGGACUCUGUUAUUUUUCUGCCGAACUUUCUGCACAGGAAUGGUUGGAGAAUGCACAAGGCACACACAUGAAUUCCUCAAGCCAGCCGCAAUCCUGGGGAUUCUGCUGCUUCCCACAGCCCUUGGGAGAACAAAACAACAGCCCACCAGGCAAGAUGCCCAGAGAUGCUGUGGAUCGAGCUCUGUCCGGGCAUUUAAUAUUUGGAGAUGCUGUAGUGUCUCAGAGCUCACCCCUGCUCAGGAGACCUCUCACACCCAAGCAUUUAGAACAGGGCUGCUCAACUUUGGCAAUCCCGCAGAUGUUGGCCUACAUCUCCCAGAAUCCCUUGCUACUGGCCACUGUGUCUGGAGAUUGUGGGAACUGUGGUUCAGAAAGAGCUGUGGGGCCAAGGUUGAUCAGGGCUGGUCUAGACCAAGACUUCCCAAGUUAGGGACCUCCAGAUGUUGCUGAACUACAACUCCCAUCAGCACCUGCUCCCAUUAAUUAGGGAAUGCACUCUAUUCUGUGCUAGACACACUUCCCUUGGAAUACCCUGUGCAUAUUUAUGCAACGGGUUGUGUGAUAUUGUCAUUUUAUAGAUCUGAUGUUUCCUCUGGGCAUACAGGUUCAGACAUUUUUCUUAUAUGUGUAUUUUAAGUUAUAUCGAUUGGGCACGGGGGGGACCAGAAAAUGAGGAAAUCGAUCUGCUCUUCAGAAGAUGCUCUGGCUUUGUUUGGGUGACAUUUUUGUCACUUUUUGAGCUGUUUUCCCCCUGCAUAUUUCAUUUCAUAGCAUAUAGCACACACACACACACACACCCGCAACCGUUUUUGUGUUUUUAUUUUGGUCAAGUUCCACUGAGGGCUGCUUGCCAAUUGAAAAACCAUACUGCCAAAACACACACACACACCCCCCACCAAACACUUAAGGUUGUCUUUUGGGGAGAUGCUUGGGAAACACUUAAAUUGCUGACACUCAACUAUUUCAUAUCAGAUGAUAUCAAACUGAUCACAAAGCAAUUGCCUCAUCCCUCUGCCAGUGGGCAUCACAAUCCCAUCCUUGUUGGCCUCCCCCCUUUUGACCAUAUAUGGUUCCUUUAAAAGCCCCUCUAUAUAUGGCCUGCCUCUUUCUGCUGUCACAAGGAGAGCAAGCACAGCCCCCUCCCACUUCUGCCCGCAUCAUAAUACUCCACUGUCCUCUGAGCCCCAAUAAAAGCAGCCCACCUUUGCUGAGCAGCUAAGUCUCCCUGGGGGGGGAGAGGGGAAACGGUUAAUGUUUCCCCUUUGCCCCCGUGGGAUGUGGGAGGGCGGCCGAAGUCCUGGGCUUUUUCCGCAAUCUCAGUCCCUGUAGGGGAUCCAGAUUUCUGGUAGAGGACGCCGAGCUGUCUCCCCUAGACCCCUGCAGGCUCCUUCGGGAGCUCCUACUGGCCACGACCGUCUAAUGUGCCCCUCUCGGGCAAAAGGGCUGAAGCGGGGUCUCCCCCUCCCUGUAAGAAGAAGCUCCCCAAGCAGCUCGAAGACCCAGCUCCCAAAGGCCUGGUCCUUUUGGUUGAGCCAGAGUAGCUCAAGCUGUGUCUGGGUGGGCUCAUCCAUUGGUGGUCCUGCCCCAACACAGAUUGACCAAGGCCCACUGUUUAACCUGGCCCUGCAGGCCUGGCUGGUUGCCGCUUUUUGGAGCCGAGAAGGAAUUUUCCCCUGGGAGGUCUCUGGAUCCCCAGGUUUUUUGCCUUCUCUGCACGGCCUUCCUCUUCAGCUCUGCAAGCGCCUUGGCUUGCCGCUGACGAUGAGUCAACCAGUGGGUCUUUCCCCCUCCCUCCCACCCCCAAAUAAAAUAGAAAUUAAUCUGAA